rnacentral:antisense_RNA from 1 species
CUUCACCGACCCCAGCCACAACGGCCUAUCCCGAUCCCGGCCCUGGCCGUACGUCGCCAGCAACGCCUGCGCCUC